AGCAGCCGCGGUAAUUCCAGCUCCAAUAGCGUAUAUUAAAGUUGCUGCAGUUAAAAGCUCGUAGUUGAAUUUCGGGACCAUCAUGUUGGUCGUGCCUCGGUACGUACUGGCAUUGUUGGUUUCUCCCUUCUGACGAACCAUGAUGUCAUUUAUUUGGUGUCGUGGGAAAUCAGGACUGUUACUUUGAAAAAUUAGAGUGUUUAAAGCAGGCUCACGCUUGAAUACAUUAGCAUGGAAUAAUGAAAUAGGACGUUUGAUUCUAUUUUGUUGGUUUCUAGGAUCGACGUAAUGAUUAAUAGGGAUAGUUGGGGGCAUUAGUAUUCAAUUGUCAGAGGUGAAAUUCUUGGAUUUAUUGAAGACUAACUACUGCGAAAGCAUUUGCCAAGGAUGGUUUCAUUAAUCAAGAACGAAAGUUAGGGGAUCGAAGACGAUCAGAUACCGUCGUAGUCUUAACCAUAAACUAUGCCGACUAGGGAUCGGAUGAUGUUAAUUUUUAAUGACUUAUUCGGUCG
rnacentral:misc_RNA from 1 species